ensembl:lncRNA
CAGAUGGCCAGCUCCUGGCAGCUUUCAUCCCCAGCAGUCAGAGGGGCUUUCCCGAUGAAGGGAUCCUGGCAGCGUACUCCCUGGCCCCCCAUAACCUGGGUGAAAUGCUGUAUGCCAAGCGAUUUGUUUCUCCAAACCAAACGGAGUCUCUCUCUGUGCUGCAAGGCCUGGAAUUGGGGGUGAGGAGACAGAAGCAACCCUGUGGCUAUCACCAACCGGUACUGUGCGGGUUCACACUCCAACCCAGCACAGCACUGGUCUCACUCAAGGUCCUGCUAUAUCCACUACCCGGUAGGUAGCACCUAUGUUCCCUCAGGGCCCUAGAGGUGUACCAGUGUUAAACUCUAGAGCCAGCCAGGUUUAUGUCCCUUGCUUCAGGGCAGUGAGCUCCCUCAAGCCCUGGGUGGGUGGGUGGGUGCUGGGAUGCUGUUUUGGAGCCAAGGUUUGGAGUCAAGACGUUAGCAAUGUAACUGACGUUUUAUUCUACCGCAGUUAAGCUCCCAUGCAAACCACGAGAAAAAAGUCCUCCCCACUCUUGGCUAACUGAAAGAUGCCACCGAUGAGGUUUCCUUUUUCUAGCCAAAGCACCUUUCUUAUUCACAGGGACUAGGCAAGGUACCUGGUAUUUUCCUGCCGGGCUGGAAUGAAAAAGUCAAAUAAAGAUCAGGUAUAAUCCUAACCAACUGUUUCUUUGCAGGAACAUGGGUGAAGCUGGAAGCAGUGGUUGUCAGCAAACUGACAGAGGACCAGAAGACCAAACUCCACAUGUUCUCACUCCUAAGUGGAAAUGAGAACACAUGGUCACAGGGGAGGGGAACAUCACACACUGGAGCCUGAAGGGGGUUGGGGGCCGAGGGGAGAGAGGACAACUGCGUCAUACAUAAUGCCCGCCGGGCUUAAAAUCUAGACGGCUGGUUGAGAGGUGCCGCCAACCACCGUGGCACAUGUAUACCUAUGUAUUCCAGAAGAAAGAAAGAAAGAAAAAAAGGAAAAAGGAAGAGAAAGAAGUUUAAAGUUGAGGGUGGGCAAAAGUAGCGGACCCCACAGCAGUGGGCUGCCAAGCUAGGAUGUGAGAACCUUCCAGAAACAAUUGUACAGGCUUCCUACCCAGAAACAGAAAACGAGUAUAGCAUUUCCAAAGCCCUGGUGCUGUACAGCAGAAGCGUUUCUCAGGAGCCGGCCACGAACCCACCAAGAAACCGGCGAACGCUUAUGCAGAAACAUCAGAAGGUCAUUGGAAUAACCAAACAAGCCCACGCCGCAAAAUUCGUCUAACUUUGCAAACAGAUUGUGUCCCCCGAAGGGGUGCACCGUUCCUGGAAGUACUGCAAUACCAGGCCGAUGCGUGGAGUGGACGGAGCAAGCUCCUAUUCCAUCUCCCUGCUCCAAAAAUCCAUUUAAUAUAUUGUCCUCGGAUAGAGGACGUAUCAGAUAUUAAACUGAUAAGAACAGAUACUACACUUGAUCUUAGCCAAAAGGCCGAGAAGCGAUAACCACUACCGCCACGCAGGCCACGACUCACAUUCGUCCACUCACCCUGAGCUCACGGUAAGAAAUAUCAUCUUCAAGUAAAGAAGCCCUCUCUUCCCUACCUUCACACGGUACUCAUUGUUACAAUUUGCAACGUUGUAUAAGUAAUACGGUUACAAGUUUGGGGGGAUAUUUACU